GAGUUUGAUCAUGGCUCAGAUUGAACGCUGGCGGCAGGCUUAACACAUGCAAGUCGAGCGGGGACUUCGGUCCUAGCGGCGAACGGGUGAGGAAUGCUUGGGAAUCUGCCUGGUAGUGGGGGAUAACGUUUCGAAAGGAACGCUAAUACCGCAUACGUCCUACGGGAGAAAGGGGGGGAUCUUCGGACCUCUCGCUAUCAGAUGAGCCCAAGUCGGAUUAGCUAGUUGGUGAGGUAAAGGCUCACCAAGGCGACGAUCCGUAGCUGGUCUGAGAGGAUGAUCAGCCACACUGGAACUGAGACACGGUCCAGACUCCUACGGGAGGCAGCAGUGGGGAAUAUUGGACAAUGGGCGAAAGCCUGAUCCAGCCAUGCCGCGUGUGUGAAGAAGGCCUUCGGGUUGUAAAGCACUUUAAGCGAGGAGGAAUGGCUCUGGGUUAAUACCCUUGAGCAGUGACGUUACUCGCAGAAUAAGCACCGGCUAACUCUGUGCCAGCAGCCGCGGUAAUACAGAGGGUGCAAGCGUUAAUCGGAAUUACUGGGCGUAAAGCGCGCGUAGGCGGUUACGUAAGUUGGAUGUGAAAUCCCCGGGCUCAACCUGGAAAUUGCAUUCAAAACUGCGUGGCUAGAGUGUGGG
rnacentral:rRNA from 1 species